rnacentral:tRNA from 1 species
GGUGUAGCUCAGUGGUAGAGUGCUUGCCUAGCAUGCAUAAGGCCCUGGCUUCAAUCCCCAGUACCA